GGAGUAGGGUUAUAUGCGUAAAGUGCUAGUGGAACGGAAUGUGAACGCUAGACGAAAACUACGGUUGCGAUGUAUAUCCCGCAUUCGCC
rnacentral:ncRNA from 1 species